ACUCAAAUGAAUUGACGGGGGCCCGCACAAGCAGCGGAGCAUGUGGUUUAAUUCGAAGCAACGCGAAGAACCUUACCAGAGCUUGACAUCUCCUGCAUAAUCCGUAAUGGGAUGAAAUCCUUCGGGACAGGAAGACAGGUGGUGCAUGGUUGUCGUCAGCUCGUGUCGUGAGAUGUUGGGUUAAGUCCCGCAACGAGCGCAACCCCUAUACUUAGUUGCUAGCAUUAAGAUGAGCACUCUAAGUAGACUGCCGGAGACAAUUCGGAGGAAGGUGGGGAUGACGUCAAAUCAUCAUGCCCCUUAUGUUCUGGGCGACACACGUGCUACAAUGGGUAAAACAACGGGAAGCGAGAUAGUGAUAUUAAGCAAAUCCCUAAAAGAUACUCUCAGUUCGGAUUGUAGGCUGCAACUCGCCUACAUGAAGUCGGAGUUGCUAGUAAUCGCGAAUCAGCAUGUCGCGGUGAAUACGUUCCCGGGCCUUGUACACACCGCCCGU
rnacentral:rRNA from 1 species